rnacentral:rRNA from 1 species
GAAGACCAGUGUAUGAUCAUGGCUCAUUCAGAACGCAGGUCAUUGGCUUAACACAUGCUGGUAUAAAGAACACAGAAGAGUUCUUUGCAGAAAGGUGAGUAUGGGGUCAAUCUACCCUAAGGAGGAUCUAAAUAGAUCGGUAAAGCAUAUAAUGCACCUUAGGAUGGUUCACCCUGAGGAUUAGGUAGAUGGUUUGGUUAAAGCAAACCAUGCCUGUGAUCCUUAGCAUAGGCCACAGUCGACUUAAAUGAAGGUCGAUCCCUUGGCAGCAGUGAGGAAUAUUGGGCAAUGGGCGAAAGCUUGACCCAGCCAAUGACAGGAUUAAUAAUCCUAGCUCUACAUAUAUAAUGAAUUGUAUUGUUGAAUAAUCCCGGCCAAACCUGUGCCAGCAGCCGCGGUAACACAGGUGGGAUUGCGUUUUGAAAUAUUAAAUAGGCAUUAAGUGUGAUUAGGUGGCCAUAGUGCUAGAGUCCUAAGAGGAGAGUUAGAGGAAUAACCAAUGGAAGGAUGAAAUCUAUAGAUAUUGGUUGGAACAUCAAUAGCGACAGCAUCACUCUAUUUUAAGACUGACACUGAAUCACUAAAGUGUGGGGAGCAAACCGGAUUAGAUACCCGAGUAGUCCACACCCUGAAUACUGAUUGUAAAACCCACCUAAAUUGGUAAAACAAUCCGCCUCCAUAGUACUAUGGCAACGUAGAAAUGGAAUUGAUUUGGCGGGUCUUGACCCCAGCAGUGGAGCAUGUGGUUUAAUUGGAUGGUACGCCCUAAAUCUUACCUUCUCUUCUUUGGUGUUGCAUGGCUGUUGCAAGUUGGUUCAGUGAUGAUUUUAUUUUAAAUUAACCAGCGAUAUGUGCAAUUUUGCACUCCACUUCAAGCACGCACGGCCCAAUGAGAAGGGCUACACACAUGCUACAAAGGUAACUAUCAAUAAUUCAACCGUUACCUCAGUUCGGACACUAAGCUGUAACUCGCUUAGUCGAAGUUGGAAUUGCUAGUAAUCGCAGUUUAUCAACCUGCGGUGAAUCCAAGUCUCGAGACUGUACAAACCGCCUGUCAAUACUGCCAAGGUGAGUUAAUAAUUACAUUAAAUGAUUUCAAUAUCAAUUAAGUCAAAGACUAUCAUUGAAUCUUAGAUGUGUUGUUUAUUUAUCAAGGGAGUAUAAGUCAUAACAAGGUAAUCGUACGGGAACGUGCGGUUCAAUUUAAUUUCUU